GAAGCACCGGCUAACUCCGUGCCAGCAGCCGCGGUAAUACGGAGGGUGCGAGCGUUAAUCGGAAUUACUGGGCGUAAAGCGCAUGCAGGUGGUUUUGUUAAGUCAGAUGUGAAAGCCCCGGGGCUCAAACCUCGGAAUUGCAUUUUGAAAACUGGCAAACUAGAGUACUGUAGAGGGGGGUAGAAUUUCAGGUGUAGCGGUGAAAUGCGUAGAGAUCUGAAGGAAUACCGGUGGCGAAGGCGGCCCCCCUGGACAGAUACUGACACUCAGAUGCGAAAGCGUGGGGAGCAAACAGGAUUAGAUACCCUGGUAG
rnacentral:rRNA from 1 species